rnacentral:rRNA from 1 species
UUAAACGGCCGCGGUAUUUUAACCGUGCAAAGGUAGCGCAAUCACUAGUCCCUUAAAUAAGGACCUGUAUGAACGGUUAGACGAGGGCUUAACUGUCUCCCUUCUCCAGUCAGUGAAAUUGAUCUAUCCGUGCAGAAGCGGGUAUAAUUAUACAAGACGAGAAGACCCUUUGGAGCUUAAGGUACAAGAUCCACACAUGUUAAACAAACCAAUUAAAAUUUAAAACUUAAUGAAAGAUGAAACUUUACCUUCGGUUGGGGCGACCACGGAGAAAAAAACAACCUCCGAGUGGACUGAAUAAUAUUCACAAACCAAGAUAAAACACCUCUAAGUAGCAGAACAUCUGACCAAGAAUGAUCCGGCCACAAAACCGAUCAACGAACCAAGUUACCCAAGGGAUAACAGCGCAAUCCUCUUCCAGAGUCCAUAUCGACGAGAGGGUUUACGACCUCGAUGUUGAUCAGG